CGUAGGGUGCAAGCGUUGUCCGGAAUUACUGGGCGUAAAGAGUUCGUAGGCGGUUUGUCGCGUCGUUUGUGAAAACUCACAGCUCAACUGUGAGCCUGCAGGCGAUACGGGCAGACUUGAGUACUGCAGGGGAGACUGGAAUUCCUGGUGUAGCGGUGAAAUGCGCAGAUAUCAGGAGGAACACCGGUGGCGAAGGCGGGUCUCUGGGCAGUAACUGACGCUGAGGAACGAAAGCGUGGGUAGCAAACAGGAUUAGAUACCCUGGUAGUCCACGCCGUAAACGGUGGGCGCUAGGUGUGGGUUCCUUCCACGGGAUCUGUGCCGUAGCUAACGCAUUAAGCGCCCCGCCUGGGGAGUACGGCCGCAAGGCUA
rnacentral:rRNA from 1 species